CUGUUGAAACCUUUCAGAUUUCUUUUUUUUUUUUUUUUUUUUAAUUAAUCAAUUUUAUUGCACCUUUGCUGUUAACAAUUUACUCAAUCUACAGCUUCAAUUAAGUAUCCCUUUAAAUUAGUUAUUGAAUAUCUAGGGAAAGAUAUUCAAUAAAGUAUAUCUAUAAAGUAAGUUAUAUUAAUACAGAUCAAUACAUUAGAACAAUUCUACAUAAUUUUUGUUUUUUUACCGGAAUACGGUACGUUUCUUAACCUAUACUGUAUAUGAUUUUUUUAUCAAAGCUUCACUGAACCGCGAAAUUGAUGAUGUAUUGAUCUUUGAUACUGAUAGCAUGACUCUUCAGUCGACAAUAGAAUUUUGAACUUAAAACUUUUUGUUUUGUUUACAACACUGAAUUAUAUAAGAAGUCUUGGAUGAUGAGAUUUUUGUAACCCGUUGGUAUUUACGGUGCAGACAUGGAUACAGUUUUUAUGUAUCAUAUUGUAUUAUUAUUAAGAAGGUGUACUUUAUCCUUUUGAGGUUUGGUGUAUGGAUUCACAGAUGAUAAUCCCAUAUCCGCUUUAACCAAAACUAUUGAAGGAUUUAUUACAAUUAUAUAGGAAAGAGUUAGUUUCCGACAAGCUUUUUGAAAACAUAUAUGUGAAGUGAAUGUACAUAUGCAGCUUUGCAAUAAGUGAUAAAAAAAGACACAAAGAAUUUUAAUAAUAAAGAAAAGAUCUAAAGAUGUUGAGAUUGUGCACACGCUGCUUACCACUGGAUGUGAGAAAUUGUACAUAGUUACAAAAGGAUUGUAAAUUGCUAAUAAGAGAGGAGAUAUUUAGUUGUGAUUAUAUAGACUGAUAAUUGAGUGAUAUAGAAUUAAAUGAUGACUUAUAGUUUUAUGGUCUAUUAAUUUUUGAAUUGUGGUUAAAUGAUACCUGUAAUGAUAAUAAAAUAUUAAUUUAAUACAUCAUUAUAUUCAUA